rfam:Penicillium marneffei ATCC 18224 scf_1105668340752 genomic scaffold, whole genome shotgun sequence.
GCCCGGUUAUCUCAAUCGGUAGAGUGUCAGACUCUUAUCAUCUGAGGCCUCUAUCUUCAGCAAUCUGAACGUUGCGGGUUCGAGUCCCGCAUCGGGCU